UUUUCUGUGUCCUAGAAGAGGGGUUCAGAAGGAAUCAGGGAUUUGCCUAUGGUGGGGCAGGACUCCAAACCUCCUGACAGCCCUCAGUGCUCGUGUGCGCAGUUGUGCUGGUGGGGGCUGCCUCCGCGGGGAUUCCCUGACAGCCCUGCCUCCUCGCCCGACCUCUCUACUCCGCAGAGAACCACAGGAACAGCACCUUCCGAGGUGGGCAGGCUCCUGGGUUUGUCAUUUUUCCCUCAUUCCGUCUUAAUCCCUCUGAAUGUCAGCAACAGCCAGAAGAGCAACAGACUCUUCCAAAACGAAUCUUUCUCAUGUCUUCUUUGUCUUGUUUCCUUUGUGUGUCUGUCACUGAGUAAUACUUCCCGAGCCUACUCAGAGCGCUCAAGUCCCUGAGCCUGUAUUGAGGACAAACAAGAGAGCAAACCUGCCUCUGUGCCCACGGCCCUCUGACUGUGCAGAUGCUCAGUAGUAUGUCAUCAACAAGGACUGCAUGUGGCCCUCUUCCACGAACCAAGCAGCUCCCCACCAACAGCAAGAUCUGGGGGCGAGAGCCUGCCCGCUGCUCUCCGCGCAGUCGGAGAUGCUGUGAACAUCGAUGGUGGCAUCCACAGAACCCAGGUCUUACGACAGCUGGAAGAACACUGGCAAUGGAAAGCUGCCUGUCAAUCAUGUUCUCUUGAUAAGCACUAAGGACCAGCACAGCUCUUCUGAAGAGGAAGUGGAGCUUUGGCAGCAGAUACGAGAAGAGGAGAGUAAUAUUGUUUGCCCCAGUUUGAAGAUGACUGAUGUGAAGCACAGUGUUGAAGUUAUUGCAAAAGGCCGUGGAACCAGUGAUGAUUACAGGGCGGAUUUGACCCCCGAUGUGCCCUCUCUGUACUUGUGCUGACGUGAAUCAUGCAUCACUUGCUCCCAGUGAAUGCCACCCAGCCUGAUACCCUGUCACCAAGGGUGGUUUCACCACCACAAGAGGUGUGUAUUUUUUACUCCAGACCCCUAGAAUAUUCUGGCCCAAGAGCUAAGAACAUCACUUUGCAUCAGAAAGACCUGGAUACAAACAUUGUCUCAGCAAUUGACGAGUUGGGACACACGUCUAAGUUACUUACUUAAUCUUUCUGAGGACCAGUUUCCUUUUCUAUAAGUUUGGGCAACCCUCCCUACCUUAUAGGGUUGGUGGGAACAUGAAAACUAAGGAUGGUGAGACUUCUGUGUCAGGCUAAGACAGUGAUUCCCUAUGAAGCACACGAGUCCAGGUGUGAGGUCUGUACAUCCUGGUGUUUUUGCUCCAAAGAAGACCGUUUCCCUCAUUGUUAAGAGUUUCCAUUCAGAUGAGCUCAAUGGGAGAAGAUGGGCAUGAUCCUUUUCUUUGGUCAUCAUUGGCUUUUGCCCUCGUCCUCAGAAUACACAUUUUUCAUGUGAAAUCUGCUCUCGGCUCCACCAAUCAACCAAGAACCUAGGCUACCCUAGCGUCUCCUGCAGCUGUUUCCUUGGCAACCAGAGCCCAGCCAGAGAGCUCACCAAACCACAGUGGGACCAAGUGAACCCCUGUAGGAAUGUCCUCACCUUCCUUUUAAAACGCAAGAGACCACACCAGAGCCUCUUUCUCUUGCACUAAUGCCAACCCAGCUGCCAUCACUUCGUGUUUGUAGAACCCUGUCAUCUGGGCACCUCAAAGCAGAUACACGUUUGUGUCAUGGGUUUUUCCCUGUUGAGAUCAUCAUCAUUAUUCAUGUUAUUCCUGUAAGGAAUCACCUGUGAGAAAAAUCAAAGGAUUCUCCAAUGGGCUCUUUUGUUCUCCUUAUCUUUUUUUUUCUUUUUUAAACUCCGUGCAUGGCGCUCCCUCGCAGUUACUAUUGCAAAUGCUUGUAGGAAAAUGCCACACUACAGUGCUAAAAUGUUGGGGUGAAAAUCACAAGGUAUUGUACAGUUCCCCAGUUAGUAUAGCCCCAUUGACCUUCCACAGUAAUCAAAACUGAGCUCACCUGAUGUCCAAGCUGGGCGUUGUGGUUGUGGUUUAUUUUCUGUCUGACUCGGACCGUCCGUGAAGAGGGUUCACACAGCCCGCAAGAGUGUCUUUUCUCUGUCAACCACCCCUCAU